AAUGAACGUUGGCGGCGUGGAUUAGGCAUGCAAGUCGAGCGAGAACCGUAGCAAUACGGGGACAGCGGCGAAAGGGACAGUAAUGUGUAGGUACCUACCCCCGGGUUCGGGAUAGCUGCGGGAAACUGCAGGUAAUACCGAAUAAUGUCUCCGGACCAAAGGUGCGAUUCCACCUGGAGAGGGGCCUGCAUCCUAUUAGCUUGUUGGCGGGGUAACGGCCCACCAAGGCGACGAUGGGUAGCGGGUGUGAGAGCACGACCCGCGUCAUUGGGACUGGGACACUGCCCAGACACCUACGGGUGGCUGCAGUCGUGAAUCUUCGGCAAUGGGCGCAAGCCUGACCGAGCGACGCCGCGUGCGGGGUGAAGGCCUUCGGGUUGUAAACCGCUGUCGUAGAGGAGGAAAUGCAGGGGGGUUCUCCCCUCUGUUUGACCUAUUCUAGGAGGAAGUACGGGCUAAGUUCGUGCCAGCCGCCGCCGUAA
rnacentral:rRNA from 1 species